rnacentral:rRNA from 1 species
AUACGUAGGGGGCAAGCGUUGUCCGGAAUUACUGGGCGUAAAGAGCUCGUAGGCGGCUCAGCAAGUCGGUCGUGAAAGCCCGAGGCUCAACCUCGGAACUGCGGUCGAUACUGCUGUGGCUAGAGUCCGGUAGAGGAGAGUGGAAUUCCCGGUGUAGCGGUGGAAUGCGCAGAUAACGGGAGGAACACCAGUGGCGAAGGCGGCUCUCUGGGCCGGUACUGACGCUGAGGAGCGAAAGCGUGGGGAGCAAACAGGAUUAGAAACCCUAGUAGUCC